GUAUAAAACAGAAUAAUAAUUAAGGUUUAAAAUGCCAUCCAGCCAAGAGAAAAGCUGCAGAGGGCUGUGUCUUGGGAUCUGAGGUUUAUCAUGAUGACUCAGUGUCUGAUUCCUUGGACCCAACCCAUCUUUUGGAGGCUCUCUGAGUUGUCCACACUCCUGCUUUUAGUUUAGCUUGGCUUGCCCACUUCAAGUCCCCAGUAUGAGAAGCAUGACCCUGGAAACUGGCUGAAACAGUUGAUACUUAAGAAAAGAGGUGGUGCAUUUCAUUCCCAGGACCAGGAGUCAUGCCCUGUGACCUUGAGACUGCACUCAGGCAGCGUGCAGUGCAGCAGGGAGUCUUCUCCAGCCCCAUCAACCGGAUGAAAGCUUUCCUACAAGGCCCACAUUGUCCUCUGCUUCCCCUCCUGGUUUGCCUCUUUCUCAUCAGAGUUCUGCAGCUCCCAGAGUCUGUUCCAUACCCUCAGUCCAUAUCGGUGGAGAGCCUGCAUGGCCAUGACCUGGAAGGGAGUGGAAGGUAGCGAGCUGUGAUCCAAGGCACUCCCCAUCUUCCCUGGAUGGGCCUCUCACUUGUACACUGAGGCAUUCACAGGCAGGGAAACCCCUGCAGACUAAGAAGGAGGCUGGGCUCAAGAACUAGUGGGUCCAGAUUUUGGCAGAGGCAGGGAAGCUUCCAGGAAAGGGGCUCCUCGUUAACAGCUGUGUGGGAGAGGGAAUGUGUGUGGUAUGCUUAUAUUCCAUUUGUCUAAAUAUUGUUUGCAUGAGGUCAGAGACCUUAGGCUUUGUUCUGACUUUCUAUGAAUGCAUAACAAACCACCCCCAAAUUUAAGUCACUUCAAGCAAUUUAUUAGUAUCUCUAAUAGUUCUUGAGCUGGCUGGGCUCAUGUGGGUGGUUCUUGCUUGGACAUCUAGCAGAUGGUGGCCGGGGCUACAAUCAUCUGAAGGCUCGACUGGCCUGGAUGUGCCAGACAGCUCACUCUCUUGGGUUGCAUUUAUUGUUGGUUCUUUGCUUAGAGCUCAGCUGAGGCUGCUUCUGGAACAUCUACAUGUAGCCUGUCCAUGUGCCUUGGACUUUUUCUUUUUUGUGGUCACACCCGUGGUAUACGGAAGUUCCCAGGUCAAGGAUAGAAUCUGAGCCACACCUCUAACCUAUGCCACAGCUGCAGCAAUGCUGGGUCCUUAACUGACUGUGCCACAGCAGGAACUCCAGCUUGGACUUCUUAAAGCAUGGCAGUGGGCUCCAAAGAGGAAGCAUCUGAAGAGACAACUGCAAAGCUUUUUAUGAUAUAGCCACAGAAACUCCAGACUUCAGUUAGUUAAAACAAAUGCACAAAGGCCAGCCCAGAUUCAAGGCAAGGAUUAGGUGACUCCUCUUGAUGCAAAGAGUAACAGCAAAGGUUGCCUUCUCUACCACUCCCUACUCUUUGAUGAAUUGAUGCUAUCUCCCAAACCCAAUACCCCAAAUGAGAGCCUAGCAUAGUUCUGUGCCAAGUAGGUGAGAAACAGUAUGGAGUAGUGGUUAAGACCCUAGAUGCUUAGAGGCAAGGAGACAUGGGUUUGAAUCAGGGCUUUUCCACUUAACCAGAUGUGGCUCUCGGACAAAUCGUUUAAUCUGAGCCUCAGUCGGCUCAUUUAUAAAAGAAUGAUAAUGUAUAUACCUCCAUGUAUGGUUGUGGGCUAUAAAUGCUGCCCAGCAUAGAGCAAGAAUUCAAUAAUUGUUCACAUUAGAAAUAAAGGUAAAAAGAGGCCAUGCUUUGGAGUUCCCACUGUGGCUCAGCAAGGUUGGCAGCAUCUUGGGAGUGCUGGGACAGAGGUUCGAUCCCUGACCCAGCACAGUGGGUCAAGGGUCCAGCAUUGCCACAGGUGUGGCUUACAUGGAAACUGCAGCUCGACUCUCAUCCUUGGGGUGGGAACUCCAUAUGCUGCAAAAUGGCCAAAAAAAAAAAAAAAAGGCCAUGCUUUGCUUCUCCAGCACCCCUUGUUUAUUCCAAUCUAGCCAUCAAGGUUCAGCUCUACAGUGCUGCUCAUGUCUAGCUCUCACCAGCAAGAAGGGUGUGGAGUCAAGAAACUAGUCAGGAAGGUAAAGUCAAGGUUCUGGGGGUGGGUAUUGCCAGAGCGACCCUUGGGGGCCUUACAGAAGGAAUUUGUCCUGGAGAACAAAAGUGAAGGAUCCGAGUCUGAUCCAUGCAGCGCCUGUUGCCAGAGGCAGUGUGGUGGAGGGGUUGUGGGAAAGCUCUGGCUCUGGCUCAGGUUCCUUCAACUUCCUGAGCCUCAGUUAUCUCACAGCAAUGGAUGGGCAUGACCUGAGGCUGUGGAGGUCCUUCUAAUCCUGGCCAAGCUCUGACACAUUAGGAAUCACUACCUGUGUCCUCUCCUCCCCAUCAGCUCAGCUCAGUCACCACUCUAGUUUAGCUACUGUUUCUACUGCUCUCUUAUUCCUACAGAUGCCUCUUUACUGUUCCUCCCACUCCUAAUCUUUGCUCCUAAUCUUUGCCUGUUGAUUCUCUGCAGAGAAGUCAGAAUAAUCUGUU